rnacentral:tmRNA from 1 species
GGGGAUGAAACGGCUUCGACAGGGAAGUGAUCGGUUUCAGACUGCGGGUCGAGCUGUUCUAACUCGUUAAACUGGGCAAAAACAUUAAUUGCCGAGAAAGUAUUUGCUUCCGGUCGCUCCUUCAACGCGCUGCCCCUCGCGGCAUAGUUGCGUAAGGAGUAACAUCUGACUCCAUUCGUGAGUCACGUCUGUGCAUCUGCUUUUCCCCGAGAGCGGAGUACGGAUGUCAGAUAAUUCGGGGUGCACUAGCACGACGUCGAUAAAUGUUAGUUAAGAUCCAUCGACUGGUUUGGGUGGACUUCGGUGCCUAACGAAGCCCAAACGAGAGAUUGAAGUCACCUACACUCGUAGACGUUUGUGACCAGCUUUUUUGGACGCGAGUUCGACUCUCGCCAUCUCCACCU